GGUUCGAUGGCGUAGUUGGUUAUCGCAUCUGUCUAACAUUCCAAAAUGCACCUCUCACGUUACACAGAAGGUCCCCGGUUCGAGCCCGGGUCGAAUCA